ensembl:lncRNA
CAUAGACUUAAUGCAACAGCAAAAUGCCUUGUUCCCUGCCUUUGCUGCAACCCAUUUGGCCUCAAGAAGCAAGGGACCUGGAAACAUAACUUUGAUGUCUAAUUGCAAUGGAACAGCACCUCAAAAAAUUGGAUAACCUAUCUGAGCAUCCUGUCCAAACCUUCAUCUUUUUGGCCUAUACUUCUGCCACAAGAUUUCUCAGAGAAAUAUCUAUAUUUAUACAUUAUCUUCUUCUGCCAAUUUAAAAUUCACUUUAAAUAAUAGUAGAAUUACAGAAGCAUUGACUAAGCCCCAUACUGUUGUACUGAAGAAUGUAACUUGUUUCAAAGAACCAAGAUGCCCUGGGAAAGUGAAGUCACCACACUUUUCCAGUUAAUGUAUUUCUGACAUGCCUCUUCUGAUUUACCCUCACACUACUAAUGCCAAUUCACUACGUUGGAGCUUGCAUGACAACCAACUUCUUCACCAUCACGUCAGGAAUUGAAAAAUCAUCAAAUGACCUCAAUAUGUUUAACAACAAGUUUUAGCAAUCUAGAAAAGCAAAUAAUGGAUCUCAGUCUCACAGUCUACAACAGUCUGGGAAAGCAUUCUACACAGGACUUCUACUGGAUCUUGACUGGGCCUGGAGCAAGCAUGAUGGCGGACUGCACAGCCCUCAAAACAGCACUGAACACACCUGCACAGCAUGUAAAAUCAGAUAGUCAAGUCCUUCUUCAGUUUGGUGGUCUCCUGUUUGAGAACUUCUCUUUGGACUCAACUAAACUGCGCCAAUAUUCAGUGCCUCACAUACGCGAUGGCUACUUUUGGAACACUGGGGAUGGGUCACCAUAGAUCAGCAGUAAAACCCGCUUAACCAUCUGGCCUACCUUCUGGAAAUCUCUUCCUUCGGUCUGGCAUGGACUGAAUAAAUAUCUUCAUUUCUAAUAAUUGUCA